GUUGCUCACUCUCCCUCAAGGGCUUCUGCACUUUGGCCAUGGCCAUAUACCAAUGUGGGGCAAGUGGGAAAGAGGGUAGAAGCUCUUGAGGGGGACUGAAGAA
rnacentral:pre_miRNA from 11 species